rnacentral:lncRNA from 1 species
UCCAGCACCAAAGCAUAGUGAGUUACUUACAAGUUACUAUAGUGAUUUCAGGUCUAAAGGAUACUUAUGCCCAUACACUUCAUAAGCAGCUCUUAAUAGUAAAAUGCUCAGCAGGUGAGUCACCUGUUCAGUGAUGAUGUACUCCUACAUCUCACCUGUAUGCCAUACCGAUAUCUCCAUACUCUUUGAUUAAGAGGACAACCAACCC